rnacentral:rRNA from 1 species
UGCAGUCGAACGGAGCACCCUUGACUGAGGUUUCGGCCAAAUGAUAGGAAUGCUUAGUGGCGGACUGGUGAGUAACGCGUGAGGAACCUGCCUUUCAGAGGGGGGCAACAGUUGGAAACGACUGCUAAUACCGCAUGAUGCGUAACUGGGACAUCCCGGAUACGCCAAAGAUUUUAUCGCUGAAAGAUGGCCUCGCGUCUGAUUAGAUAGUUGGCGGGGUAACGGCCCACCAAGUCGACGAUCAGUAGCCGGACUGAGAGGUUGACCGGCCACAUUGGGACUGAGAUACGGCCCAGACUCCUACGGGAGGCAGCAGUGGGGAAUAUUGGGCAAUGGGCGCAAGCCUGACCCAGCAACGCCGCGUGAAGGAAGAAGGCUUUCGGGUUGUAAACUUCUUUUAAGUGGGAAGAGUAGAAGACGGUACCACUUGAAUAAGCCACGGCUAACUACGUGCCAGCAGCCGCGGUAAUACGUAGGUGGCAAGCGUUGUCCGGAUUUACUGGGUGUAAAGGGCGUGCAGCCGGGCAUGCAAGUCAGAUGUAAAAUCUCAGGGCUUAACCCUGAAACUGCAUUUGAAACUGUAUGUCUUGAGUGCCGGAGAGGUAAUCGGAAUUCCUUGUGUAGCGGUGAAAUGCGUAGAUAUAAGGAAGAACACCAGUGGCGAAGGCGGAUUACUGGACGGUAACUGACGGUGAGGCGCGAAAGCGUGGGGAGCGAAC